rnacentral:rRNA from 1 species
GGGGGAUAUUGCACAAUGGGCGAAAGCCUGAUGCAGCGACGCCGCGUGAGGGAAGACGGUCUUCGGAUUGUAAACCUCUGUCUUCAGGGACGAAAGGAAUGACGGUACCUGAGGAGGAAGCCACGGCUAACUACGUGCCAGCAGCCGCGGUAAUACGUAGGUGGCAAGCGUUGUCCGGAAUUACUGGGUGUAAAGGGAGCGUAGGCGGGGAUGCAAGUUGAAUGUUUAAACUAUCGGCUCAACUGAUAGUCGCGUUCAAAACUGCAACUCUUGAGUGAAGUAGAGGUAGGCGGAAUUCCUAGUGUAGCGGUGAAAUGCGUAGAUAUUAGGAGGAACACCAGUGGCGAAGGCGGCCUACUGGGCUUUUACUGACGCUGAGGCUCGAAAGCAUGGGGAGCAAACAGGAUUAGAUACCCUGGUAGUCCAUGCCGUAAACGAUGAUUACUAGGUGUGGGGGGACUGACCCCUUCCGUGCCGGAGUUAACACAAUAAGUAAUCCACCUGGGGAGUACGACCGCAAGGUUGAAACUCAAAGGAAUUGACGGGGGCCCGCACAAGCAGUGGAGUAUGUGGUUUAAUUCGAAGCAACGCGAAGAACCUUACCAGGUCUUGACAUCCAGAGAAUCCACUAGAGAUAGAGGAGUGCCUUCGGGAACUCUGAGACAGGUGGUGCAUGGUUGUCGUCAGCUCGUGUCGUGAGAUGUUGGGUUAAGUCCCGCAACGAGCGCAACCCUUACGAUUAGUUGCUACGCAAGAGCACUCUAAUAGGACUGCCGUUGACAAAACGGAGGAAGGUGGGGAUGACGUCAAAUCAUCAUGCCCCUUAUGACCUGGGCCACACACGUACUACAAUGGUGAUUAACAGAGGGAAGCAAAACCGCGAGGCAGAGCAAACCCCUAAAAAUCAUCCCAGUUCGGAUUGCAGGCUGCAACCCGCCUGCAUGAAGCCGGAAUUGCUAGUAAUCGCGGAUCAGCAUGCCGCGGUGAAUACGUUCCCG